rnacentral:misc_RNA from 1 species
UCAAACUUGGUCAUUUAGAGGAAGUAAAAGUCGUAACAAGGUCUCCGUUGGUGAACCAGCGGAGGGAUCAUUACCGAACGAGAGUCUCCCCGACUCCCAGACCACCGUGGACGUGCCCCCGAAGACGAAAACCCGCAACGCUCCGGCGGGUCGCCCCCCAGGGGUGGGCGCGCGCGCCGACAGGCGCCCGCCGGAGCGUCGGGGUCACAAAACUAUACUUUCAAGCCCGGCUCUGAGUUUUCGAUAUUAAAAGCCAAAAAUUUCUAGCAACGGAUCUCUUGGCUCCGGCAUCGAUGAAGAACGCAGC